rnacentral:rRNA from 1 species
CAAGCGGUGGAGUAUGUGGUUUAAUUCGAUGCAACGCGAAGAACUUACCUGGUCUUGACAUCCCGGAGACCCUUAGGAAACUAGGGGGUGCUUCCAUCUGGAAGAAUCUGGAGACAGGUGCUGCAUGGCUGUCGUCAGCUCGUGUCGUGAGAUGUUGGGUUAAGUCCCGCAACGAGCGCAACCCUUGCCUUAGUUGCCAGCAGUUCGGCUGGGCACUCUAAAGGGACUGCCGGUGUUAAACCGGAGGAAGUGGGGAUGACGUCAAGUCCUCAUGGCCUUUAUGACCAGGGCUACACACGCACUACAAUGGCCGAUACAAAGGGCAGCGACACUGCGAGGUGAAGCCAAUCCCGUAAAAUCGGUCUCAGUCCGGAUUGGAGUCUGCAACUCGACUCCAUGAAGUUGGAAUCGCUAGUAAUCGUGGAUCAGCAUGCCACGGUGAAUACGUUCCCGGGCCUU